UGGUUCUUCUUUCAUAUCCAUAACACCUGGUGCACUGGUUGGAUGCUUGCAUCCACUUUUAAACUAAACAUUAUUGUAACAAAUGUAGUCUUAUUAUAACAUAAUAAAACUUUCAACAACGGAUCUCUUGGCUCUCGCAUCGAUGAAGAACGCAGCGAAAUGCGAUAAGUAAUGUGAAUUGCAGAAUUCAGUGAAUCAUCGAAUCUUUGAACGCACCUUGCGCUCCUUGGUAUUCCGAGGAGCAUGCCUGUUUGAGUGUCAUGAAACCCUCAAACCCAAGUUUUGGAUUUCGAUCCAUGCUUGAGUUUGGAUUUGGAUGUUUGCCGGUGAUGAACCGACUCAUCUUAAAAGUAUUAGCUUGGAUCUGUCUAUAUGACUGGUUUGACUUGGCAUAAUAAGUAUUUUGCUGAGGACAUCUUCGGAUGGCCAGGACCUAGACUACUGUCUGCUAACUAAACCAUCAGUGCAUCUUUGGAUGUUACUCAUUGUGUAACUUUGACAU
rnacentral:sRNA from 1 species